ensembl:lncRNA LINC01120 long intergenic non-protein coding RNA 1120
GGGUUUCAACUGCCACCUGGGAGACUGCUGGUAAAGAUGGGAGGUGGCCUUUGCCGCUUUCCAUCUUCUCACUGCAGUUUCUUCACGUGGGCCACUUGUACUUAAAAUGUCUUCUUAAUUUAUUCUUUUUACUUCCCCAGCUCCAAUUUGUCUACAGAUUUACAAAUUUGUUUUAUAGUUUUAUGACUCAAUUUGUAUUUUCGGUCCUAUGAAGCUUUUUGCCUUAAAUAUUUUUCUCUGUUUAUAAGAAUGUGCUGUUUCCUAGGCCAGUUUUGUACACACUCUUCCAUAGAAUAGAUCCAGAAGAAACACAACAAUACUGCCUUCAUCAUAUCAGGAGAUCUUGAUACCAAAUACGAGUGUUGCCUCCAAGAUGCAAGAUCCUGAGGGCUCCAAAGAAUCCACUGUCCGUCACAAAUCGACGGUCCGCCAGCUCAGUUUCAGAGACGUGGUGCUCCGCUGCAGGCCUCAUCCUCAGGUGCACCCUGGCAGUCAGCCAUCUGAAGGUACUAUGGAAAUUCAGUUACUCACUCUUGGGAGCAGAAGGAUUCCAGACCAUUCCUGUGUGCACCCUGGCAGGGAGCCAUCUGAAGGUACUGUAGAAAUUCAGUUACUCACCCUUGCAAGCAUAAGGAUUCCAGAUUCUUCAGGGUCCCAAACUUCAGAUAACUCUAAAAUUGCUACACUAUAUUCUUCUUUAUUUCAUGUGUGCCAAUUUAAAUGUACAAGUCAAUCACUAGUGCUACAAAUGCAGAAGUAAAGAUGUAUUUCCACUUCAA